rnacentral:rRNA from 1 species
GAUGAACGCUAGCGACAGGCUUAACACAUGCAAGUCGAGGGGCAGCGGGGCGGCAGGCUUGCCUGCCGUUGCCGGCGACCGGCGCACGGGUGAGUAACACGUAUGCAACCUGCCCGUGGCAGGGGGAUAAGCGGGGGAAACCCCGUCUAAUACCGCGUAACGCGGCCUAGGGACGUCCCAAGGCCGCCAAAGGGAGCAAUCCCGGCCACGGAUGGGCAUGCGGCGCAUUAGCUAGUCGGCGGGGUAACGGCCCACCGAGGCGACGAUGCGUAGGGGUUCUGAGAGGAAGGCCCCCCACACUGGUACUGAGACACGGACCAGACUCCUACGGGAGGCAGCAGUGAGGAAUAUUGGUCAAUGGGCGCGAGCCUGAACCAGCCAAGUCGCGUGAGGGAGGACGGCCCUACGGGUUGUAAACCUCUUUUGCCGGGGAGCAACGGGCGUCACGUGUGGCGCCACUGAGAGUA